UACGUAGGGUGCAAGCGUUGUCCGGAAUUAUUGGGCGUAAAGAGCUCGUAGGCGGCUUGUCGCGUCGAUCGUGAAAACUUGCGGCUCAACUACAAGCUGGCGGUCGAUACGGGCAGGCUGGAGUUCGGUAGGGGAGACUGGAAUUCCUGGUGUAGCGGUGAAAUGCGUAGAUAUCAGGAGGAACACCUGUGGUGUAGACGGCUUUCUGGACCAUAGCUGACGCUGAGACACGAAAGCGUGGGUAGCAAACAGG
rnacentral:rRNA from 1 species